CCUACGGGUGGCAGCAGUGGGGAAUAUUGCACAAUGGGGGAAACCCUGAUGCAGCGACGCCGCGUGAGUGAAGAAGUAUUUCGGUAUGUAAAGCUCUAUCAGCAGGGAAGAAAUAGCGACCUUUGGGUCGCCAGACGGUACCUGACUAAGAAGCCCCGGCUAACUACGUGCCAGCAGCCGCGGUAAUACGUAGGGGGCAAGCGUUAUCCGGAUUUACUGGGUGUAAAGGGAGCGUAGACGGCAGCACAAGUCUGAAGUGAAAUGCCGGGGCUUAACCCCGGAACUGCUUUGGAAACUGUUUCCCUUGAGUAUCGGAGAGGUCAUCGGAAUUCCUAGUGUAGCGGUGAAAUGCGUAGAUAUUAGGAAGAACACCAGUGGCGAAGGCGGAUGACUGGACGACAACUGACGGUGAGGCGCGAAAGCGUGGGGAGCAAACAGGAUUAGAUACCCUGGUAGUC
rnacentral:rRNA from 1 species